AUUGAACGCUGGCGGCAUGCCUAACACAUGCAAGUCGAACGCGAAAGAGGGACAACUCUCGAGUAGAGUGGCGGACGGGUGAGUAAUACGUAGGAAUCUGCCCUAGAGUGGGGGAUAACCUGUCGAAAGACGGGCUAAUACCGCAUGAUCUCUAAGGAGCAAAGGUGUCUCGUAGUAAUACGAGGUUUCGCUUUAGGAUGAGCCUACGUCGGAUUAGCUAGUUGGUAGGGUAAAGGCCUACCAAGGCAACAAUCUGUAGCUGGUCUGAGAGGACGAUCAGCCACACUGGAACUGAGAUACGGUCCAGACUCCUACGGGAGGCAGCAGUGGGGAAUAUUGGACAAUGGGGGAAACCCUGAUCCAGCAAUGCCGCGUGUGCGAUGAAGGCCUGCGGGUUGUAAAGCACUUUCGUUGGGGAAGAAAUUCUCAAAGAUAAUACCUUUGAGAGCUGACGUUACCCAAAGAAGAAGCACCGGCAAACUCUGUGCCAGCAGCCGCAGUAAAAC
rnacentral:rRNA from 1 species